rnacentral:misc_RNA from 1 species
CGAAUUGUUGACACGAGUUGUUGCUGGCCCGCUCGGGCAAGUGCACGUCGGUGACUUUCAUCCAAUACCCUGUGCACCAUUGGCCUCUGCUAGCUUUGGCCGGCAGAGGAAUUUUACACCUACUCGAAUGUAAUGAAAUUAGUGUGUGCGUAAGCACAAUGUA